rnacentral:rRNA from 1 species
GGUGAACGCUGGCGGCAGGCCUAACACAUGCAAGUCGAGCGGUAGAGAGGAGCUUGCUUCUCUUGAGAGCGGCGGACGGGUGAGUAAUGCCUAGGAAUCUGCCUGGUAGUGGGGGAUAACGUUCGGAAACGGACGCUAAUACCGCAUACGUCCUACGGGAGAAAGUGGGGGAUCUUCGGACCUCACGCUAUCAGAUGAGCCUAGGUCGGAUUAGCUAGUUGGUGAGGUAAAGGCUCACCAAGGCGACGAUCCGUAACUGGUCUGAGAGGAUGAUCAGUCACACUGGAACUGAGACACGGUCCAGACUCCUACGGGAGGCAGCAGUGGGGAAUAUUGGACAAUGGGCGCAAGCCUGAUCCAGCCAUGCCGCGUGUGUGAAGAAGGUCUUCGGAUUGUAAAGCACUUUAAGUUGGGAGGAAGGUCAGUAGCUUAAUACGUUGCUGAUUUGACGUUACCGACAGAAUAAGCACCGGCUAACUCUGUGCCAGCAGCCGCGGUAACAC